rnacentral:rRNA from 1 species
ACGGAAGGCAGCAGUGAGGAAUAUUGGUCAAUGGGCGGAAGCCUGAACUAGCCAAGUCGCGUGAAGGAUGAAGGUUCUAUGGAUUGUAAAGUGCUUUAGUAUGGGAAUAAAGUGAGGGACGUGUCCCUUUUUGUAUGUACCAUAAGAAUAAGGACCGGCUAAUUCCGUGCCAGCAGCCGCGGUAAUACGGAAGGUCCAGGCGUUAUCCGGAUUUAUUGGGUUUAAAGGGAGCGUAGGCGGAUUAUCAAGUCAGUGGUAAAAUCGUGUGGCCCAACCAUACCUCGCCAUUGAAACUGUUAGUCUUGAGUGCACGCAGGGAUGCUGGAAUUCGUUGUGUAGCGGUGAAAUGCUUAGAUAUGACGAAGAACUCCGAUCGCGAAGGCAGGUGUCUGGAGUGCAACUGACGCUGAGGCUCGAAAGUGCGGGUAUCAAACAGGAUUGAUACCCUGGUA